rnacentral:tRNA from 1 species
AUCUGGGUGGCUCAGUGGAUUGAGAGCCUGGCCUAUAGACUCCUAGGAGGUCCUAGGUUCAAAUCUAGGCUCAGAUA